rfam:Aeromonas molluscorum 848 Cont88, whole genome shotgun sequence.
UUAAUCAUCAACGUCAUCACCACUACCAUUAUUACCGGUACCACCACAGGUGGCACUGGGGCCGGUUGAUGCGCUGACGAACAAGCACAGAAAUCAGAAAAAGGCCCGUACCCACCCAGUACGGGCCUUUUUGUU